UACGAAGGGUGCAAGCGUUACUCGGAAUUACUGGGCGUAAAGCGUGCGUAGGUGGUUCGUUAAGUCUGAUGUGAAAGCCCUGGGCUCAACCUGGGAAUGGCAUUGGAAACUGGCGAUCUAGAGUGCGGUAGAGGGUAGUGGAAUUCCCGGUGUAGCAGUGAAAUGCGUAGAGAUCGGGAGGAACAUCUGUGGCGAAGGCGACUGCCUGGACCAGCACUGACACUGAGGCACGAAAGCGUGGGAGCAAACAGG
rnacentral:rRNA from 1 species